rnacentral:rRNA from 1 species
GAUGAACGCUAGCGACAGGCUUAACACAUGCAAGUCGAGGGGCAGCAUAAAAGUAGCAAUACUUUGGUGGCGACCGGCGCACGGGUGAGUAACGCGUAUGCAACCUACCUAUCAGAGGGGAAUAACCCGGCGAAAGUCGGACUAAUACCGCAUAAAACAGGGGCACCGCAUGGUGAUAUUUGUUAAAGAAAUUCGCUGAUAGAUGGGCAUGCGUUCCAUUAGGUAGUUGGUGAGGUAACGGCUCACCAAGCCGACGAUGGAUAGGGGAACUGGGAGGUGGGUCCCCCACACUGGUACUGAGACACGGACCAGACUCCUACGGGAGGCAGCAGUGAGGAAUAUUGGUCAAUGGGCGAGAGCCUGAACCAGCCAAGUCGCGUGAGGGAAGAAGGAUCUAUGGUUCGUAAACUUCUUUUGCAGGGGAAUAAAGUGCGGGACGUGUCCUGUUUUGUAUGUACCCUGAGAAUAAGGAUCGGCCAACUCCGUGCCAGCAGCCGCCGUAA